rnacentral:rRNA from 1 species
AUACGUAGGUGGCGAGCGUUGUCCGGAAUUACUGGGCGUAAAGCGCGUGCAGGCGGUUUGACAAGUCUGAUGUGAAAGCCCCGGGCUUAACCUGGGAAGUGCAUUGGAAACUGUUGGACUUGAGUACUGGAGAGGAAGGGGGAAUUCCCGGUGUAGAGGUGAAAUUCGUAGAGAUCGGGAGGAAUACCAGUGGCGAAGGCGCCCUUCUGGACGGCUACUGACGCUGAGACGCGAAAGCGUGGGGAGCAAACAGGAUUAGAUACCCUGGUAGUCCACGCUGUAAACGAUGAGCACUAGGUGUAGCGGGUACUCAUUCCUGCUGUGCCGUAGCUAACGCGUUAAGUGCUCCGCCUGGGGAUUACGGUCGCAAGACUAAA